UGGGGAAUUUUCCGCAAUGGGCGAAAGCCUGACGGAGCAACGCCGCGUGCGGGAUGACGGCCUGUGGGUUGUAAACCGCUUUUAACAGGGAAGAAGAUCUGACGGUACCUGUUGAAUCAGCAUCGGCUAACUCCGUGCCAGCAGCCGCGGUAAUACGGAGGAGGCAAGCGUUAUCCGGAAUUAUUGGGCGUAAAGCGUCCGCAGGUGGUUUUUCAAGUCCGCUGUCAAAGACCGGAGCUUAACUCCGGAGAGGCAGUAGAAACUGAGAGACUAGAGUUCGGUAGGGGUAGAGGGAAUUCCCAGUGUAGCGGUGAAAUGCGUAGAGAUUGGGAAGAACACCAGUGGCGAAAGCGCUCUACUGGGCCGAAACUGACACUCACAGGACGAAAGCUAGGGGAGCGAAAGGGAUUAGAUACCCCCGUAGUCC
rnacentral:rRNA from 1 species